rnacentral:rRNA from 1 species
UACGGAGGGUGCAAGCGUUAGCCGGAUUUACUGGGUUUAAAGGGGGUGUAGGCGGGCUAUUAAGUCAGUGGUGAAAUCUCCGGGCUCAACCCGGAAACUGCCAUUGAUACUAUUAGUCUUGAAUUUUGUUGAGGUAGGCGAAAUAAGUCAUGUAGCGGUGAAAUGCAUAGAUAUGACAUAGAACACCAAUUGCGAAGGCAGCUUACUACACAACUAUUGACGCUGAGGCACUAAAGCGUGGGGAUCAAACAGG